UACGGGGGGGGUAAGCGUUGUUCGGAAUUACUGGGCGUAAAGGGCUCGUAGGCGGCCAACUAAGUCGGACGUGAAAUCCCUCAGCUUAACUGGGGAACUGCGUCUGAUACUGGAUGGCUUGGAUCCGGGAGAGGGAUGCGGAAUUCCAGGUGUAGCGGUGAAAUGCGUAGAUAUCUGGAGGAACACCGGUGGCGAAGGCGGCAUCCUGGACCGGUAUUGACGCUGAGGAGCGAAAGCCAGGGGAGCAAACGGG
rnacentral:rRNA from 1 species